CCUAUUUUCUCUAAUUGCCACAGGCAAAGGGGAGGUCCGUGGAAGAAUAAAGAAGGUUAUUGUGACAGAUGAAACAUAAUUCACAAUGAGUACUCUUUUCAUCCAGCCUUAAGUAGAGGAGGAUUACUUCCAAGCUGAAUUUGGUGGAAGAAUGUUUGAGCUGAUUUUAUUAACAUAUAAGGACCGGCCAAAGACAGAAAACCUGUUUCUCUUCAGCCGGGUGGUGGUUAUUUUGUGUGUGUGUGUGUGUGUGUGUGUGUGUGUGGUGUGUUUGGGGGUCUUAUUUUGUUCACCUCAAAUAGAAGAGAUGCUGGACAGAAGACAAUCUGGAGAAGCGGAGGGAGUAGGUGGGGAGGGCAGGAAAUCAGAAACUUAAAGCAAUAAAAGUUGGGUUUUUCUAUAGUAGAGAAUGAGAAAUGAUGAGUUAAUAUAUUUCUACAUUCUUUGGCAUGCACAUGAAAUAAAGUCAUACUUUUUUUCAACAAACAUAUGAGCUGCAAAAAUGCUGUUUAGUUUUAUAUGAGAGCUUGAUACUAAACUUCAAUUAAGUAGAGACACACAUAGAGAGAGGCAGAGACACAGGCAGAGGGAGAAGCAGGCUCCAUGCAGGGAGCCCGACGUGGGACUCGAUCCCGGGUCUCCAGGAUCAUGCCGCGGGCUGAAGGCGGAGCUAAACUGCUGCACCACCGGGGCUGCCUCUAACAGCAUUUCCUAAACAGUUUAUUAUACAGAGAAAAAAUCUUUUGACUAGCAAACAAAUACAUGUGUCCACAUAUCCUUGGUGGUUUGCUUUUUUCUACUGGCUAGUCUUUAACAAACUUGAAUUUGUGACAGUGAAAUUUCAAGGACUUUAUCGCUUUCGAGUAAAAUGAUCUAAUAAGUUUUCUGGCCAAACACAGCAGAAGCCUGGAAUUCUUAGACUCGACAGAGGUAUAGAUCCUUUUUAAAGUUCAGCCUAAAAUAGUGAGCUUUUGUCUUUAUAAACUGGAAAAAAACAUGAAAGAUUUAUCAUGAAAGGAAAUGUGGCAAGAAGUGCAUGUCUAUAUUCUAAGAUUUUUCCAAUUACAAAUAAAAACACUAGAAUUAUUUUUCUCAAGCCACAAGUUGAAAGUAGAGUAACCCCCUCCUAUUUUACAUCUAUUCUCAUUGAUCAAUGUGGCUAGAUAAUUCCACCUCCCUUUCCCACAGUUUUGAUUCAAUCUGUUAUAAGUCCAUCUUUUAGAAUGCUUGCUGUGCCCAGUGGUCAGAAACAAAUUUGGUUCAAUACUAAACUGAGUAAUUCAAGUGGACAGCCAAAUAGCUGAUAUUAUACUCAUCUGUGACUGAAAACAAAACAAAACAAAAAAACCCACAGAGAUAAAUUGGAUUUGGUGAGAGAGAUGAUAAAAGACCUUGGUGAAAAUAUAGUGAACAGGUUUGUCAAUAUGGAGAAUUUCUAUUUCCCUUCUUAAGUAUGUUUUUAUGUGUAUGAUUUUGUGAUAUAUCUUAUGCUUUUAGCAUAGUGUUUCUUAAAUUUCUACUACCAAAAUGGCUUGUCAAAUUCCCACAGGUAGGAGACCAUCAGGGAUUCUCCAAAAGAAUCUUACUUAGCAAAUGAGCUUGCAUCUUCUAAUAAACAAGUCAUGAGAAUAUUAAUGUUAAUACUAAUUGCCUAGAAGCAGUCUAAGGGGAAAUAGAAAAAUAGGGUCCUGAUUCUUUCCUCUAGAGCAAAAAAAUCUCAGGGAAGAGGAAAUUAUCAAAAUGUAGUUCUAGAACAUUGAAACUCCUCUUCAUGUUGAAAAGGAUGUAUAAUAAGCACAUCUGUGUUUGGGAAGGUGAAGUUUAACUCAUCUUGUGUCAAGUAUCUUCAAAUACGGCAUGAAAAUUCUUGGCAAUUUCAACAUGCACUCACUUCCUCCUGUGUACCAGGCAACAUGGACCGAAAGAGGAUACAUAAGACAAGGAACUGGAAAUUCCAAGACAAGAUGAUAGACUUGCUCCUCUACUAAGGCAUCCUGAAUUUUCUAUAACAUGAGGAUAUUCCCUAAACUUCCUCUUAACUUGAGCAGUUAGAAUCUUUGUGGACCUCAGUUUCAUGCCAAGUCUAAAACCUAAUUUUACGAAUCCAAAGAGUUGCCAACAGAAUCAUAGAGGAGGAGGUGAGUAAAGUAUGAAAGAUAAAAGAUAGAAGGAGAGAUAGAUAGAGCAUGAGCCAACAUAGAGAAUGGAUUUAGCUGAAUACAAAGUUUCAGUUGGAAAAUAUCAACAUGGAGUUGUCUUAGGUUGAUCCUUCACAAAAAUACUAUUAAGACAAAGUCGGAAAUGCACAAUGUAUUUGAGCUGUAUGGUAAUGGACCGUUGCAGAAACAUUCUAAAGCAUGGGUAUGGCCAGAAAGCCAUGCAGAGAAAAUGUGGUUUCUUUUGGGACCACUAAGAAUGAGACAGAGAUGGAGAGACCAAGAGAGGUAGAUAGUAAUCAGAAUCCUGCAAAACUAAGA